GACGAACGCUGGCGGCGUGCUUAACACAUGCAAGUCGAACGGAACGGCCCUGCUUUUUUGGGGUGCUCGAGUGGCGAACGGGUGAUUAACACGUGAGUAACCUGCCCUUGACUUUGGGAUCACUUCAGGAAACUGGCGCUAAUACCGGAUAGGAGCUCCUGCUGCAUGGUGGGGGUUGGAAAGUUUCGGCGGUUGGGGAUGGACUCGCGGCUUAUCAGGUUGUUGGUGGGGUAGUGGCUUACCAAGGCAUUGACGGGUCGCCGGCCUGAGAGGGUGACCGGGCACAGUGGGAGUGAGAAACGGCCCAGACACAUACGGGAGGCAGAAGUGGGGAAUAGUGUACAAAGGGCGGAAGCAUGAUGCAGCAACGCGGCGUGCGGGAUGACGGCCGUCGGGUUGUAAACCGCUUUCGCCAGUGACGAAGCGUGAGUGACGGUAAUGGGUAAAGAAGCACCGGCAAACUACGUG
rnacentral:rRNA from 1 species